GAGGUAGUGACAAUAAAUAACAAUAUAGGGCCCUCUCGGGUCUUAUAAUUGGAAUGAGUACAAUUUAAAUCCCUUAACGAGGAACAAUUGGAGGGCAAGUCUGGUGCCAGCAGCCGCGGUAAUUCCAGCUCCAAUAGCGUAUAUUAAAGUUGUUGCAGUUAAAAAAAGCUCGUAGUUGAACUUCAGGCCUGGCUGGGUGGUCUGCUUAACGGCAUGUACUGUCUGGCUGGGUCUUACCUCUUGGUGAG
rnacentral:rRNA from 1 species